CAAGAGAAGUUUAAAGUUAAUAAAGUCAAUUGUUUUAUUGGCCUAGUGACAAGUCGUACCAAGUUACAAACCUAAUUGCAUUUGUUUGUUUGUUUGUAUGGUGUUUUUACGUUGCAUGGAACCAGUGGUUAUUCAGCAACGGGACCAACGGCUUUACGUGACUUCCGAACCACGUCGAGAGUGACUUCUAUCUCCAGAAAUGCACAUUUCUCACACGUCAAUAGAAUGCCCGAGAAUCGAACUCGAGACCACCGACUAGGUGGCAGGCCAAGACCAUACCGAUCACGCCACUGAGCCGCUUCUAAUUGCAUUUGGAUUCUUGUUCAUGUAUCCCGUUUGGAUCUUUCUGAAUUGCUGCAAAAUUCUUAAGUCAAAUUACUUGUAUCCCGUUCAAAGGGGCUAAUUUAUUUUUUUUAAAAGCAGUUGUGUUAAAGUACAAGUGUACAUAGUCACAUAAUAUAUUCCUGUUAUUGCAGUGGACGUGAUAUUGGACUUGGCCUAGUUAGCUUAUGGCAUUGGCAAGAUGGAUUAUUUACUGGAACUGUAAAGACCUCUUAACAGUUUCAGUUAGAAAACCUUUCGACACCCAUGCCUUCCUUCACGAUGUCUCCUUGGAUGGACUAACCAGUCUUUGAGACAUCCUAAUCCUUGUAACUCCUUGCUGUAUUGUGGCAGAGCUAAGAGAAGUCUCGACAAAAUCCAACUUGGUCUCCAAACAGCAGCAGUAACAUGCCUUCACAAAUCAUAGAUGCAUCAGGAACCAUCUUUACGUCAUCUGAGCAGUGAAUGGUUCACUACAAAAUACUGGAUGAAGAAUGAAAAUAAACAAAUACUCAGGAUAAAGGUUCUUUAAUGCUAACAGAUGUUGUGACAUAUAGAGCUACAUUCAUAGAUUUAGCUUUUAAAUAUAGUCUUCUAAAACUAUAUAUUUUUCUUUUUAAGGGCAUUCAGCCAUUAUUCUUCUAAAAGGCUGUUUUCUAGGUUGUAAAUUAGCCUCUGAUCUCACACUUUUGUAUUUUUACUCUCAAAGAUGAGGUAUUUUUUUCCAAAAAUAUUCCACUUUUCUAGUGACAUAGUAAUGUUCCCUUUAAAACUUGAAAUUAUAGAUUUCAUUUACAUUUGUCACCAUAUUUUUUUCUUAGUUUUGAAUUCAGAUAAUAUUAAUGCAAUCAACAAAAAAUGUUGAAGGUUGGGUGUUUAAUGGGCUUUUGUACCUUGUGAGAUAUUGCCUCUUGCACUAAAGUUAUGUGAUUUUUUUGCAAUAAUUCAAUUAUGUUUAGCAUUUACACAAGGAAAGGGCAUGAAUAAAUUUUUUUUUGUAAACUUGUGGUUUACUUCUUAUUAAAUAUUUGUAAAGCAUUGUUUUUAAAGAAAUUGAAAUUUAAGCAAUGUUGGGUGAACAUUACCCUAAAAGAUUUAAUUCAGUUUUUAUGUCUAAAAACCAUGCUCUUUUUAUAUAUGUACAGCUUAAAUUUGUCUCAUAUUUAACUUGGCUUUGUAAAUAUAAGCAGGACACUCAUAUAAUGUAAUUAUGGUAACAUUUUCAUUAGUACAGAACUACCUUACAUAUUUUUGAACUCAAUACAGUAUUUUAGUUAUAAUGAGAAAGACAAUUAGUCCAGAGCCUAAAGUAGUUGAUUUGAAAUUGAAAGCAGUUGCCAAUUCUUUAUGGGAAUCGGGAUGUUACAUUGUCUUUCCUAUUUAAGAAUAAUGAUUUAAGGUAACUGUUCUUUAAUGAGGUGUCUUAACAAGGAAUAUGCAAACUCAUUUUGUUUUUGAGAGUAAUAAGUUUACCUUGGGGCCUAAGGAAUAUAGAUUUCUAUACGGAUUUACCUCUUCUCACAUGUAACAAAUUCAAAUCCAGUUGUAAUCAGUAUGUGAAUGAGAACCGUAAAAUGGCGCUUUGUAUUUUUACUUUCAAAGAUAAGUGUUUUUUUUUAUUCCACUUUCCAGAUAAGUAAUACAAUAAUGUCCCCUUUAAGAUUUUAAAUUAUAGAUUUAUUUGUCACCCUUUUCAUAGUUCUAAAUUCAGAUGAUAAUGAUAAUGCAAUCAACAAAAAUGUAAGCUAGGGUGUUUUUCACAUCAGCCUCUUCAAGGAUUUUUAUACCUUGUUUAAUAGACUUUUUUACCUUGUGAAAUAUAGACUCUCCCAUUAAGUGAUCUGGUUGGUUGCUAUAAUCAGUUAUGCAUAGUAUUUACACAAGGAAGGGCUAUUAAUUCACUUUAGAGAAGUGUUUUAUAAUAGCUUGUGGUUCACCUGUUACUAAAUAUUUGUAAAGCGUUGUUUACAAAGAAAUUGACAUUUUAUUUUGAAAUUUUAGACUGUCAGGAUUUGUGUACAAAGUGCUAGCAUGCAGUCAAACUAUUUAAGUUCAGAACUCAAAAGUGUACGAAGUUUUUAUUGGCCUGAUACCAUCUUUCUUUCAUCAAAGUGAAUGAGGUAGAUAGAAUAUUUUGGGUUGAAGCUUGUGUCUGUAGUCUCUGAAGGUAACAUAGGGUUUGGUAGUAUAUUUUCUGGUAAAAGAUCUUUUAGAGUUGAAUUUAGGUUCCUUUAUCGUGUUUUUUAAGUAGAGCCCAUGUACUGAAAGGUUCAAAUUAACAACAUAAUAACAGAGUCAAUUUUCUAAGGGAUCAUGCAAAAACUAAAGCAAAAUUAAUAAGUACUGUAAAGAGACAGAUUAGCAAGGUAAUAGCACAUAUUACCAAAGUUUUAGCUUAAUCUUUUCCCUGAAAUGACUGGAACAGCGAGGUUUCCAGCAAUGUACUUGUUGUUUUAGAUUUAGCUGAUCGUAUGCCAGCACAGGCUCUUGCUCAUAGAGCAGCCCCUAACCAAUGUACUUACCCUAAAAGUUUCAGAAUAAUGUGGAUUGAAGAACCCCAUUUUUGUAAAGAGUUGGAUUAGAAAUUUUGAUAUGCUGUGAAGAUCAAAUUAUUUUCUUGUGGCUUAGUUUCAAUUUACAAAGUUGGUAGGUUUAUAUAUAUUAAAUUUUAAUAGUAGGUGUGAGUGAUCCUGCUUAUAUAUUUUAUUUACUGUGCUAUAAGUUGGAAGUUUUAAGAGCCAUCUGUUCAUGUAACUGUAAUUCCAUUUCAUGUUAUUUGACCCAAGAUCUUUUGUUUAACAGAUGUAAAAUGGAAAGAAUAAAAAAUAAAGAUGGCCACUCCCUCAUGUGCUACACGGCCAGGCAGUGCGGUCACUCCACCAGAGGCUUUGGAUCCCCAGAAUACACCUGAAAGGAUUACGGAUGUUUGAGAGGAUUCUAUCUCACCACAGUCCCCACUGAAUUGACGUUUUCUGAAUCAUAUGUCAAGGCAUGGCUGGGCCUGUCUACUUUCAUGCCAGUAAGACUUUUUCAGUUAGUAACCUCACAGUGUCGGCUAUUUUCAGCUGUCUUGAGAGACCACAUGGAUGUCUUUGGUGAGAAGGUCAACAAUCCCAUAUAAUUCUGUCACAUGCUUCGUGAAUGUUGUACAACAGGUUGAACGAAGAAGUGAUGAUAUAUAUCUGAUUUAUAUGACCAUUUAUUUAAUUUUCUAGAGAACACUACAAUAUUUGAAUUUAUAAUCUGUCAAACCAUGCACUUUCCAUUGAAGACCUAAAUCUGCUUCAGUUUAAAUUGGCUUGGGAUGCUGAUAAAUGGCUACUAUGCACAUCUUAGUAAAUUUAGAUUAGGUGCUAAGUGACCAUAAGGGUGUGAACUAAUAUUUUUCUUGGAAACCAUUAUAAGAUUUUAGGUACAAAGAAGUUGAGUUAGACCUCCAUAUUCAUUGCGUAGUUAAAGGUUGGAAGGAAGUCUUUUUCCUCAGAUUUUCAAAAGAAAAAGCGAAUGAUCAGGUUUAUAACAAAUAUGUAUACAGAAUGGUUAAAUUACGUAGAAACCCAGUGAGUAAAUAGCUUUCUUUUAGCUCUUAAUGAAAUAGAAGUGGUAUUUCUGACUUGUUUUAAUGGUUAAUUUUAUUUGUUGUUUACAUGAUGUUGGACAAAGGAAUGUAUUUGGUUUAUGACUUGAAAACUCAUAUGAUUUUUGGUGAUUCAGGUACAAGAAUGCAUAUGUAUUAGUAUCAGGUAACUUGUGAGUUAUGUGAUUUAAUAGUAAAAUGCCUAUUUAGACAUUUAUGUACAUUGUAGUCACAGAGAAGAAAACCUUUUCGAGUAUCAUUAAGUAGAAAUCACUGCCGGUGAGAUUCAUCCAUAAAUGUUGGUCGUACAAGUCACCGGGUGAUUUGUAUCAACUGUACAUCGUAAGUGACCCUGUAAUGUAAAUCUGAAUAGUUUUGUCGUGUAAUCUUUGUGGAUUUCUUUGGGCUUUGUCUCCUUCAGUAAACAGCUGGAAAGGUAUUCAGACAGUAGUGUGGAACUCUUGUUGCAGUAAGUGUCACAGUUUUUCUGGUUGGCUAGUAACAAAAUGAGCAAUUCUGAAGUGAUUCUUGUUGUGUGGUGUUGUCUAGACGUACUUGUUUCUUUGAUGGUUUGUGGAACUUGGUUGUUUCUUGCAAUGCAAGUAUGAUACUAUCCUUGGAUUGUUGGUGCUGUAAUCGGAGAGGAUUGUUUUCUUGCAUUCAUCAUUUGCUUAUUUUGUAGUUUUUGUACAAGGUAACAUCAAAUUCUUGCUUCCUUUACUGUGUUAUUCCUACGAGAUUGAAUAUCAAAUUAUUUUCCAAAAGUUUAGAUAGUAUUUAAAUUAAAUGAGUCCUCCCACCCACAGUAAUACAAAUCAAACAAAAGCCGAGAAGUCCAAAUGAUCUUGUGAGAGGAGAUAAAACUUGGCAUUGUAACCAAAUAGGCGAUAACCAGUUCAAGUACGUCAACAAAAUUCAGAAGCCCAGACUUAUAUACUCAUGCAUUGCAUCCCUGAGUUCCAUUGGCUUAUUAUGAUGGAUCAAGGUCCAGUAUAUACCCAACAGUUUAGAUGUGAAUUGAAGUCCAUCUGAUGCUUUAAAAAUGCUUUGACCUGCCCGUCCCAGGAUACGUGGCGGGCCUGGCCCACCCGUCCAGGGACAGGUGGCGGGCCUCGCCCGCUCGUCACGGGACAAGUAGUGAGCCUCGACCGCCCAUCGCGGGACACGUAGCGGGCCUCCCCCGCCCAUCCUGGGACACGUGGCGGGACUCGCCCGCCCGUCCCGGGACACGUGGCGGACCUCGCCAACCCGUCCCAGGACACAUGGCGGGCACCACCCGCCCGUCCCGGGAAACGUGGCGGGCACCGCCCGCCUGUCCCAGGACACGUGGUGGGCACCACCCGCCCGUCCCGAGACGCGUGGCGGGCCCCGCCCUCCAGUCCCAGGACACGUGACGGGCCCCGCCCGCCCAUCCCAGGACGGAUGUCAAGCCCCGCCCACCCAUCCUGGGACGCGUGGCAAGCCCCGCCCGCCCAUCCCGGGAAGUAUGGUGGGGCCCUACCGCCCAUCUAGUGCUGUAUAUCUUGAGUUGAAAAAAUCUGGUAUCAAGCCAUUUCAUGUUAUCAGCAAGCCCAACAUCACUCAGCAACAGAGAGAAGACUGUGCAUGGUUUUGUGGUUCAUUUCUUAAAGAUUGGGAUGAAGCCGACUUUCUUCAUGUUGCCGCAUCAGAUGAAUUCUUCAUUUACACAGUCAGGAAGCCAAAUCAUAAAAAUGACAUCAUUUGGGCUGCAAAGUUGGAUGAUAUCAGCGAUGACAUGCGCUAUCGCCAAGUUGUGAAAUUUCCUAAAUGUUUGGGAAUUUUUCUCCGUUUCACAGCCAAACGGUUAAGGUGGAUCAUCAAAGAAAAAGGUCAGUCAUGGAAUGGCAAAUACUUCAGAGAAACUGUGCUUACUGGUGGAGUAUUUCCUUUCCUCAAAGAUUCUGAAAAUGUGUUGUCGGACAACGAAAUGAGAAAACAGCAUCUUCUCGUCCUAUUAAAGAAUCAACGUUACUGAAGAAUUUUCGACAUGGACGAAUCUUUGUUGAACAACGAAACGAGAAAACAGCGUCUUCUCGUCUUGUUAAAGAAUCAACGUAACUGAAGAAUUUUCGACAUGAAUGAAUCUUUGUCGGACAAUGAAACUAGAAAACAGCGUCUUCUCAUCCAGUUAAAGAAUCAACGUUACUGAAGAAUUUUCGACAAGAACGAAUCUUUAGGUCGAACAACGAAACAAGAAAACAGCGUCUUCUCAUACCGUUAAAGAAUCUACGUUAAUGAAGAAUUUUCGCCAACGACGAAUCUUUGUUGAACAACGAAACGAGAAAACAGCGUCUUCUCGUCUUGUUAAAGAAUCAACGUUACUGAAGAAUUUUCGACAAGGACGAAUCUUAGUCGAACAACGAAACGAGAAAACAGUGUCUUCUUGUCCCGUUAAAGAAUGAAUGUUACUGAAAACUUUUCGACAAGGACGAAUCUUUAUCGAACAAAGAAUCGAGAAAACAGCGUCUUCUCGUCCCGUUAAAGAAUCAACAUUACUGAAUCAUUUUCGACAAGGACGAAUCUUUGUUGAAUCUUUGUCGAACAGCGAAAUGAGAAUACAGCGUCUUCUGGUCCCGUUAAAAGAAUCAACGUUGAUGAAGAAUUUUCGACAAGGACGAAUCUUUGUCGAACAACGAAACGAGAAAACAGCGUCUUCUUGUCCCGUUAAGGAAUCAACAUUACUGAAUAAUUUUCGACAAGGACAAAUCUUUGUCGAACAACGAAACGAGAAAACAGCGUCUUCUCGUCCCGUUAAAGAAUCAAUGUUACUGAAGAAUUUUCUACAUGGACGAAUCUUUGUCGGACAACAAAACAAGAAAACAGCGUCUUCUCGUCCCGUUAAAGAAUCAACGUUACUGAAGAAUUUUCGACAAGGACGAAUCUUUGUUGAACAACAAAACGAGAAAACAGUCGUCUCGUCCCAUUAAAGAAUAAAUGUUACUGAAGAAUUUUCGACAUGAAUGAAUCUUUGUCGAACAACGAAACGAGAAAACAGCAUCUUCUUGUCCCGUUAAAGAAUUAAUGUUACUGAAGAAUUUUCGACAAGGACGAAUCUUUGUCAGACAACGAAACGAGAAAACAGCGUCUUCUAGUCCCGUUAAAGAAUCAACGUUACUGAAGAAUUUUCGACAUGAAUGAAUCUUUAUCGAACAACGAAACGAGAAAACAGCAUCUUCUUGUCCCGUUAAAGAAUCAACGUUACUGAAGAAUUUUCGACAAGGACGAAUCUUUGUCGAACAACAAAACGAGAAAACAGCGUCUUCUUGUCCCAUUAAAGAAUCAAAGUUACUGAAGAAUUUUCGACAAGGACAAAUCUUUUUCGAACAACGAAACGAGAAAACAGCGUCACCUCAUCCUGUUAAAGAAUAAGCGUCACUGAAGAAUUUUUGACAAGGACGAAUCUUUGUCGAACAACGAAACAAGAAAACAGCGUCUUCUCGACCCAUUAAAUAAUCAACGUUACCGAAGAAUUUUCGACAAGGACGAAUAUUUGUCAGACUACGAAACGAGAAAACAGCGUCCUCUCGUCCCGUUAAAUAAUCAACGUUAAUGAAGAAUUUUCGACCAGGACGAAUCUUUGUCGAACAACGAAACAAGAAAACAGUGUCUUCUCGUCCCGUUAAAUAAUCAACGUUACUGAAGAAUUUUCGGCAAGGACGAAUCUUUGUUGAACAAUGAAACGAGAAAAAGCGUCUUCUCGUCCCGUUAAAUAAUCAACGUCAAUGAAGAAUUUUCAACAAGAACGAAUCUUUAGGUUGAACAACAAAACAAGAAAACAGCGUUUUCUCAUCCUGUUAAAGAAUAAACGUCACUGAAGAAUUUUCGACAUGGACGAAUCUUUGUCGAACAAUGAAACGAGAAACAGUGUCUUUUCGUCCCUUUAAAGAAUCAACGUUACUGAAGAAUUUUCGACAUGGACGAAUCUUUGUCAAACAACGAAACGAGAAAACAGCGUCUUCUCGUCCCGUUAAAGAAUCAACGUUACUGAAGAAUUUUCGACAUGGACGAAUCUUUGUCGGACAACAAAACGAGAAAACAGUGUCUUCUCGUCCCGUUAAAGAAUCAACGUUACUGAAGGAAUUUUCGACAUGGACGAAUCUUUGUCGGACAACGAAACGAGAAAACAGCGUCUUCUAGUCCAGUUAAAGAAUCAACGUUACUGAAGAAUUUUCGACAAGGACGAAUCUUUGUCGAACAACGAAACGAGAAAACAGAGUCUUCUCGUCCUGUUAAAGAAUUAACGUUAAUGAAGAAUUUUCGACAAGAACGAAUCUUUGUCGGACAACAAAACGAGAAAACAGCGUCUUCUAGUCCCGUUAAAAAAUCAACGUUACUGAAGAAUUUUCGACAAGGACUAAUCUUUGUCGAAUCAACGUUGAUGAAGAAUUUUCGACAAGGACGAAUCUUUGUCGAACAACAAAACGAGAAAACAGCGUCUUCUCGUCCCGUUAAAGAAUCAACGUUGAUGAAGAAUUUUCGACAAGGACGUAUCUUUGUCGAACAACAAAACGAGAAAACAGCGUCUUCUCGUCCCGUUAAAGAAUCAACGUUGAUGAAGAAUUUUUGACAAGGAUGAAUCUUUGUCGAACAACAAAACGAGAAUACAGCGUCUUCUGGUCCCGUUAAAGAAUCAACGUUGAUGAAGAAUUUUCGACAAGGACGAAUCUUUGUCAAACAACAAAACGAGAAAACAGCGUCUUCUCGUCCCGUUAAAGAAUCAACGUUACUGAAGAAUUUUCGACAAGGACGAAUCUUUGUCAAACAACAAAACGAGAAAACAGCGUCUUCUGGUCCCGUUAAAGAAUCAACGUUGAUGAAGAAUUUUCGACCAGGGCGAAUCUUUGUCGAACAACGAAACGAGAAAACAGAGUCAGUCAAGAUUGAUUGUGAAACACAACAGGUGAAUUCGACAACGAAGCAAGCGAUAUCGGAAAAAGCAAAACGAACGAACUUACAUAAGUGCGCUGGAGCUGAAUUUUUUUUAUUCUCUCCCUAUAAGAGUCUCAAUAAGAGUAUAAAGAUAAAAAAAAAAUUUUUGUUUGAUAGCUAGUAAAUCUAAGUAUUUUUUUACACUCGGUUGGUGAUAUAUGUCUUUGAAUACUUUUGUAUUUGUGUUCCAUUUAUUUGAAUAAUUUUUUUUA